GCCGCCUCUGACCCACGUGACCACAGAGCUAGCUCCGUGGAAAGGCCUCAGUACAGCCUCGGUCUCUCCUGGAAACUGUGUCGGGAUUUUGAGUCUCUGUGCUUGUGAAUUCUGUUUUGGAUAAUAUUGGUGCAAUUGUUGGACAAAAUGACUUGCUGUGGUAUUAAUUGCACUAAUAGAGCGUCCAAGGAGUCUCCACUUCAUUUUUUUCGGGAAGGACCUGAUUGGUGUCCAGAACCUGCUGAAGAAGCACCAGGCUCUGCAGGCUGAGAUCACAGGUCAUGAACCUCGCAUCAAGGCUGUCACCCAGAAAGGAGAGACCAUAAUGGAGGAAGCAACAAGUGGCUCCAACUGACGAUGAGACCGGGAAGGAGCUGGUUCUGGCUCUGUACGACUACCAGGAGAAGAGUCCUGGAGAGGUCACCAUGAAGAAGGGCGACAUCCUCACGCUGCUCAACAGCACCAACAAGCUGAAUGAGGAUGGAGAGACGGGUCG